UUCCCUUAGUAAUGGCGAAUGAAGAGGGAAAAGCCCAGAUUUGUAAUCAAAUCUUUUUUUAAAGGUUUGAGUUGUAAUCUUGAGAACUAUUUUCUGUGUUGGAUCAUAUAGAAGUUUGUUGGAAAACAGCAUCAUAGAAGGUGACAAUCCUGUAAAUGAUAUGAAUAUACCAAGCACAAAUAUGAUAUAGUUUCUAAGAGUCAAGUUGUUUGGGAAUGCAGCUUAAAGUGGGUGGUAAAUUCCAUCUAAGGCUAAAUAUAGGUGAGAGACCGAUAGCAAACAAGUACCGUGAGGGAAAGAUGAAAAAAACUUUGGAAAGAGAGUUAACAGUAUGUGAAAUUGUUAAAAGGGAAGCACUUGGAGUUAGACUUGUUAUUGUUGGUUCAACCCUUUUUUUUUUGGGGUGUAUUCCAAUAUUAACAGACCAUGAUCAAUUUUGAAAAGUGUUGGAAAAGGGGUGUUAGAAAUGUGGCAACCCUUUUUAGAGUUGUGUUAUAGUCUUCACCUUGGAUACAAUGCUCAUGAUUGAGGACAGCAGUCUUUUAUAAGACUAUGGAUAAUGGUGUAAUAGCUUCAAAUGACCCGUCUUGAAACACGGACCAAGGAGUCUAGCAUGCUUGCAAGUAUUUGGGCAUCAUUCAAUCCCUUAUGCGUAAUGAAAGUGAAUGUAAAUGAGAUCUGAUUAUUUAGUGCAUCAUUGACCAGUCCUGAUUAUAUAUAUGAGGGUACUGAGUAAGAGCAAGUAUGCUGGGACCCGAAAGAUGGUGAACUAUGCCUGAAUAGGGUGAAGCCAGAGGAAACUCUGGUGGAAGCUCGUAGCAGUUCUGACGUGCAAAUCGAUUGUCAAAUUUGGGUAUAGGGGCGAAAGACUAAUCGAACCAUCUAGUAGCUGGUUCCUGCC
rnacentral:rRNA from 1 species